AUAGCAACAGCAGCGUAGCUGAACAUCUUACGGAUGGCCCAGGGCUCCAAAGGCUCGUUUCCUAAGUGAGAGAGAGCCUGGCUGAAGCUGUAUUACCAUUCAUUCUCCAGCCUCCGAAGUCUCAAAGCAUCACUUCCACCAUACUCUAACUGUCAAGACAAACACAAAGGCCCAGAAACUGCCAGACUGUCUUCUGAAGUGGCUAUAAUAUUUACACUCCCAUCAGCAGUGUAGAAGGGGUCUCACUAUGUUGUCUGGAGUGCUGUGGUGGAGUGGAGUGGCUAUUCACAGGAUUCUUGGAAUGGACUGUAAAAGUCUGGAAUCAAGACUUUGUGUUUCCUCUCUAACAUGUAAAGAGCUUAGAAGUUGUCGCUAUUGCCCUUACAACAAAAUGAAGCUGGACAAACUGAAAAUCAAUGACUUUUCUUGGACUCACUAUACAGCUGAGUUUGCAGAGUAAACCACUACCCUGAAAUCUGGAAAGGCAGGUGCACCCACAGAUCCUCAGCUGAGAUCCAAUUACCUGAAAUAGAAGCUGCCAUUAGGAACACUUAAAAGAGCCUGUUCUGCUGGGACACAGAAUCACUUGCUCCAUCUCAUACAUUGAUGAUGAUUAAUUUGUAUGUGUACCUUCCAAAAAAGAUGGUUGUGUUUGAAUGGAGGCCUUCUGGACAGGAAAAUAUGGAGAGUGCGUGCUUUGGAUUCAAGACUGGGAAUGAGGGGACCAGAAACCUAUUCUGUGGCUGUUUCUUGUUAGGACUUUCCUAAGCCUCUGGAAAAGUGCAAAGUACAAUUAACAUUUGAGUCUGUCUGAGUCAUGAAGAAAUGGAGAUUACUGAAAAUAAUUCAUUUUGGUAUCUUCUUACAUCCUGAGAGACUAAUCUUUCCAAGUUCAUCUGAGGCUCCUCUUCUCCAUGACAACCUCAUCCAGGGAUUUCUUCCUGUCCUGGUGUUUUAUGACAUCAUCCUCAUCUCGCUUGUAAGGAUAAUAGCCUUCCUCCAAACCUCACACACUUUUGGAGGAGAUCACUUUUUUUAAAGUGCAUGGAAAUGUUUUGAAACAGUGAAAUCUAUAAUGAUAGGUUUCAUAAUUCUAACAUCCACACCAUAUGAAUCACAUCCUUCCUGAGAUAAUGAGCACACAAUUGCCUGGAUACCUGAAGGAAUGGAGACAGCGGCAGAAAACACUGCAGAGAGGUGGAAACAUCCGUUAAUAUUUUAAAAUCCCAUUACUGCUACCAACAAUAAUAAUGGAUGCAUAGAAAUAGAUCUGGAUUAGCUGAGCUUGAAACAGUCCAUCUCACACACACACAAAAGAAUUUCAGGUAAUGAAGAAAAGAAAAGGAAAAAAAUAACACAUGGCCUCUGUAACAUUGUUGCUUUUGAACCUUAUUGGAUUUGUGGCAAACUGGGUGCUUUUGGGACAUGAGUCUCCUACCACUCACCUGCCUCUGAGCUCUCCUCUGAGGCCGGUCACUGCCCAGAAGGGAUGCACCUGUCUUCUGUCCUGUGGUCUCUGGGUAGCCCCUGGGUCAGCAUUUUGGGUGCUAGCAUCUGAUGCAACUGCUACAGUUGCUGAUGAGAAAGUAGCUACCCUCCUCCACUCCACCCCUGCCGCCCAGGCCCUGCCACUCCUGCUAACCUGUCAGGCUACAUUUUCAAUUACUGGCUUUGAAAAAUGUCCAGGUGGAUUAAAUCAAUGAAUGCGAUGAGCUGAACACAA
ensembl:lncRNA LINC00635 long intergenic non-protein coding RNA 635